AUACGUAUGGGACAAGCGUUGUUCGGAUUCAUUGGGCGUAAAGGGCACGCAGGCGGAUUGAUAAGUUGGAUGUUUAAGCGUUAGGCUCAACCUAAUAACGGCAUCCAAAACUGUCAAUCUAGAGUAUUGGAGAGGAAAGCGGAAUUCUCGGUGUAUCGGUGGAAUGCGUAGAUAUCGAGAGGAACACCAAUGGCGAAGGCAGCUUUCUGGACAAAUACUGACGCUCAUGUGCGAAAGCGUGGGGAGCAAACAGGAUUAGAAACCCCAGUAGUCC
rnacentral:rRNA from 1 species